UACAGGCUUGUUACUUUAAUAGCCCAUGUUCCUGGGGACUCGGCUAAGGUUAUUCAUGUUUAAUGUAUCUCAAAUCAAAUGAAAGCAGUUAUUGUAGGCAGGUAAGUUUCCCUAACUGGUCCCCUCUGUGUAAAAUGCGUUCUUAUUCAAGUUUUCAACUCAGUCAUUCGUUUAAGAUGCAAUCUUGUGUUAUAAGUAUUAGGCUAUCAUGAUUAUACAGUGAGCAAGCUAUAUAAAUAAGUAUUUAAUAUAAUAAAAGUGUAGAGCAACAACCGAGGGUGUAAGGUAAAGGCUGAAUAUUGUAGAUUUAUUACAAUAUGUUGCAUGUUUGAAUUAAAAUACCUGUGGAUAUGCAGGAGCACACACUCUACAAAGGCCUGACUGGAGAUUUGCCUGAUCUAUCCGUCCUUCAGGUGACAGCGGCUCACUUCAAGAGCAGGUGAAGCAAGUUGGGACAAUGUUGAAGACGUUUGCUCGCACUGGGCAAUCGGGUGCAGAUCAAACCCUAAUGCUGCGACGUCUUGGAGUUUGGCGAUGUUGUGCGUAGCAUGGACAACAAAAUGCUAUGCUGCAACAUUUCAGUGCCAAUGUGUCUGUUGGAGAGUUAUCCCUGCCAGGGGAUCUGUUACUCCCCCCUAGACACCCAGGAAGAUUUGGUGUUGCUUGACAACAGUUUGAGGCAGGAUAAAGAGCUCCAGCAACGAUUUGUAAGUGUGCCGAUUUCGUUUAUAACGCCAUAGAGUAAUCUAAAAAGUAAAAUUAAGAUCGUACACUGCAUAUUCUACAGUCUGAAUCCACAGCCUGUCACAUUUUAAAUUUAUGAGAAGCUUCAGAGAAAUGUAAUUUGUAACAUGUUUUUUUUGUAUUUUCAGCUUCGGUUUUUGGCAAUCAAAUGUGAGAGGGACCUAAAGACAACCGUGUGGCGAAUGCUUCAGAGUAUCUUCUCUAAUCACCUUUCCAUCAAUACAACCUGAACUGGUGUAGGGGAUAAAGCAUGUUUUAGAGACAUG